UACGAAGGGGGCUAGCGUUGUUCGGAAUCACUGGGCGUAAAGCGCACGUAGGCGGAUUUGUCAGUCAGGGGUGAAAUCCCGGAGCUCAACUUCGGAACUGCCUCUGAUACAGCAAGUCUUGAGUUCGAGAGAGGUGGGUGGAAUUCCUAGUGUAGAGGUGAAAUUCGUAGAUAUUAGGAAGAACACCAGUGGCGAAGGCGGCUCACUGGACCGGUAUUGACGCUGAUGUGCGAAAGCGUGGGGAGCAAACAGG
rnacentral:rRNA from 1 species